rnacentral:rRNA from 1 species
UAAUACGUAGGGGGCAAGCGUUGUCCGGAUUUACUGGGCGUAAAGCGCGUGUAGGCGGCCACGCAGGUCCGUUGUGAAAACUGGAGGCUCAACUUCCAGACGUCGACGGAAACCGUAUGGCUAGAGUCCGGAAGAGGAGAGUGGAAUUCCUGGUGUAGCGGUGAAAUGCGCAGAUAUCAGGAAGAACACCAAUGGCGAAGGCAGCUCUCUGGGACGAUACUGACGCUGAGACGCGAAAGCGUGGGGAGCGAACAGGAUUAGAUACCCUGGUAGUCCACGCCGUAAACGAUGGGUGCUAGGUGUGGGAGGUGUCGACUCCUUCCGUGCCGUAGCUAACGCAUUAAGCACCCCGCCUGGGGAGUACGGCCGCAAGGCUAAAACUCAAAGGAAUUGACGG